CAACAAAAUAUAUCGUAUUUGGGUAAUGCAUAAGCUAUAUGAAAUGAGAAGAUAUAUACGGUAUGAUGAGUGCCAAUGAGACAACUCUCUACCAGAGAUCAAUUGACAUAAAACGUAUUAAAGUGCAAUGUUUUCCCAUUUAGAUCCGAAAAGGAGGAGGAUAUAUAUUUUGCUUUAAUAUAAAAAGUUUGUCGAGAAUAACAAGUUAAACGGGUCUUGCUUAUAAAAUUCACUAUACUUUCUUUAAUAGCGGUACAAUUAGAUUAUGAAAUGAAACGAUUGUCAGAUUGUCAGAAAAAAAAAGGUUAAUUAUAAUUCAUCUCAUAUGUUUACAAGCUUUGUAUGAUGUGGAGAGGUAUAUAGCCACGCUUUAGGCCCAAUUUUAUUUUCACUUUCAAUUCUAUACACAUGAAUCUUAUUGCAGAGAAAUAAAAAAAAAUCGCAGUCAGUUUACGCUUCCCAAAUUUGAAAAUUUGAUAAAGAUGAUUUGUUAUCCUCUUGUGAUACAAAACUUUUUCACAACUUAAGAACCUCAUCUAAACGAACAAACC
rnacentral:lncRNA from 1 species